UACUUGUAGGCAUCACUCACUAAUGAUGCUACUGUAUCUGUCAACAGAUGCUUGUGGAGUCCUGAAGGUUCUAUUCUUGGUGUUGCAUUUUCAAAGCAUUUAGUGCAGAUCUAUGCUUUUAAUCUAAAUGAAGAAUUACGACAACAUUUGGAGAUUGAUGCUCAUAUAGACAGUGUUAAUGACAUUGCCUUUUCCUAUCCCAAGAAGACUCUCUCGAUCAUCACUUGCGGCGAUGACAAGGCAAUUAAAGUGAGUAAAACCAUGUGGUUGAUCAGUCAGAAGAUUGUACAAGAAGAAUUGUAUGUUCUUAACAGGUUCCGUUGCAUGAUG